rfam:Theobroma cacao cultivar Matina 1-6 chromosome 9, whole genome shotgun sequence.
AAUCCAUGGUGAGGACAUCUUCUCAUCAAAUCCUUAUACCUUUCCUAAGCUUCAUAUAGUGAUUUAGAAUCAAAUUGCAUGAAAGAAGUAAUAGCAUUCCGCAUCUU